rnacentral:tRNA from 1 species
GGGGCUAUAGCUCAGAUGGUUAGAGCGCAUCCCUGAUAAGGAUGAGGCCAGAGGUUCAAGUCCUCUUAGCCCCACCA